rnacentral:rRNA from 1 species
UACGAAGGGGGCUAGCGUUGCUCGGAAUCACUGGGCGUAAAGCGCACGUAGGCGGAUUGUUAAGUCAGGGGUGAAAUCCUGGAGCUCAACUCCAGAACUGCCCUUGAUACUGACGGUCUCGAGUCCGGGAGAGGUGAGUAGGAACUGCGAGUGUAGAGGUGAAAUUCGUAGAUAUUCGCAAGAACACCAGUGGCGAAGGCGGCUCACUGGCCCGGUACUGACGCU